rnacentral:lncRNA from 1 species
AGUCGGUGCUGCUGGAAUUACUGCACAGCUGGCGCUCCCCCCAGCACCCCGAGCAGAGCAGCAGUGCAGAUUAAAAUCUCCAAUUAGCGUUAAAGUGAAGUGAGGAGGUGCUGAGGCUGCCAAGGAGGCCAGACGGGGGCCCUGGGUUGGCAAAACCCCCACUCUUGCCUGGAUUCUGAGUGUCACCCUUAGUCACCCCUACUUUCCCAGCUCCUCUCCCAACAGCUUUCAGUGCCCAUUAGUUUUGUAUCGCUUGGGGCCAGAGGGCUUUGCAGAGGGGUGGAAGGGGGCAAAUGCCUUACCUAAAAUGCUAGGGACACCGUAAGUAUGGAGGAGGAGAGCGGUCAGUGCUCAUCAAGGGAGAUACCCUAUUCACUGCCUGCCAGGCAGCCAGGCCAAGGUGACUUCACGCUACAGCUCUGCUUCUUCUUUUUGCUUGAAGAAAAGAUAAACAGGACGGGUCCUUUCAGGUCCUUUACCUAUGAAGUGCUAGGGGACAUGGUGCCCACAUGAACAUCUCUCUCUGCAUAUUUUAUCCUAUCUGACCCAUCUGCUCCCACCGAAGUUAUGGCUCCUUCCUCCCUCUCUCCAUUCUUCUCUCAGCUUUCCUGUGGGCAGGGGUAGGCACAGCCAGGCUUGGGAGCAUCGCCAUGCCCUGCCACCUGGGUCCCAGCCUGCUCCUCGUUAUAGUCUUCCCAGUUUGGGGAAGAGCAGUGAUAUGCCAAGAAUGGAGGCCUCAGACUCUCCCAAUCCCUGAUUUUUACAUGUCCCCCUAUAAGGCCCCUCUGCCAUCUACACUUUUGCCCUUCAUCCACAAAGCCCAAAAGGAAGGCAUUAUAGCUAGCCAUGCCCUCUGACUGCCCUCUGCCCCUUUAAGGGAAAUGGAAAUGGGUACCCAGCUGACUGAACCUACUCAACACCUCCAGAAAUUAGACACUAGGGCAUGGUGCCACCCUCCCAGGCUGGCACAUGCUACCCUGGCAGAGGAUCAAAUAACCCCCCCAUCAUACCCUGCCCCAUGUCUUCCUCUACUCUCUCCCUCAUGCUUUCUCUCUCUCUCUCUCUCUCUGUCUCUCUCUCUCUCUCUCUCUCAGCUCAAAGCACAGCUGAGCCUUAAAAGGGGGGUUGAGGGGGUGGAGAGACCAAGCUGGGGCAGGGGGGUAUAGAGCUCCAAUAGCACGUUUUCACCUGCCAUUUAAUUGGAUGUAUUUUUAAUUAAUGGGACCUCAGGGACCAACAUGAGACAAUCUGAUAUCUGAAUAGGGACAGGGGAGGGAUUGGGUAAGGGAGGAGGAUUGGGCCACUGGGUGCGGUUACCGGGAACCCAGGCCCAUCAAUCACUGGCCACUUUGCGUUCUGGCAUGGAGAAUAGCGAGGUGGAGGAAGGGAGGCACUGGGGAGAGGUGCCAGGAUUUCCCCCCAACUGCCAGGACCUCCAAACGGAUUGGAACUAUACUGGUUGACUCAGGUCUGGAGCCCAAAAUCACAGCCAGAAUAUAAGGUGAGGCUGUUUUCUUGCUCCUGGGGUUUUGUCUGGUUGGGCUUGUCCCAGGGAGUGCUGUAAAAUUGUGAAAGGAAGGUGGGGACAGAGCUUUGAGGUCCUUGUAGAGAGAAGACAAGAGCUAUGGACCAUAGAACCAGAGACUAUGGAGAGACGGAGGAGAAGGGCAGGGUUCAGAGGUAUUUCUGUAUGUUUUGACAUAAAAUAAGUGCCAUGGAGAUUACAUGCAAAAUGGCAUGCAAAUGAGGCCUGGUGCCUUUUGGGGUAUGAAUCGUAGAACCUUGCUUUUGCAAGAAAGGGAACUUGGCCAGGUGCGGUGGCUCACGCCUAUAAUCCCAGCACUUUGGGAGGCCGAAGCAGGUGGAUCACUUGAGGCCAGGAGUUCGAGACCAGCCUGGCCAACAUGGUGAAACGCCAUCUCUACCAAAAAAUACAAAAAAAUUAUCUGGGCAUGGUGAUGUGUGCCUGUAAUCCCACCUACUUGGGAGGCUAAGGUAGGAGAAUUAGCCUGGGCAACAGAGCAAGACUCUGUCUCAAAAAAAAAAAAAAAAAAAGGGAACUUGGAGCUCAUCUUGCCCCACCCCUUCAUUUUACAGAUGUGAAAAACAAGACCCAGAGAGGGGAAAUCAUUUGAAUCCUGUCCUGGUAUUGCUUUGUGUUCCUGGAUUUGGAGAAUUUCUGGGAACACAGGAAAAGGAAAGUGAAUGCCACCAGGAUCUGAACCCAAGAUUCCAGCCUCGGUCACCACCCUGACCCUGAGAAUGCCACUGGGAUGGGGAGAACUUGUCAGUCUUCAUCCUUCCCCACAAGUAUACUGAAGCCAGGACAGCACCUGCCUUAGAGAGCUCUUAGAGGGAUUAUCCGCAGCCUGAAGAAAGAAGGUUACAACUGAGGAAGAACUUCUGAACAGGGAAGAGUGGAAGAAAAGACUGCAGCUCAGCUCCAGAAGCAGACCCAGAAUGGCAUCCUUCUCUGAGACCCAGACCCCAGCCCCUUUUCAUGGAAGACCAGCACAAAGGAGGAAGUAGGUUAGGGAAUGGUAAGGCUCCAUGUGAUGGGACUAAUGUGGAGAGGCCUGGGGCCUUUCCCUGAGGACUGGAUGGCUGGAGUUUGGGAGCCUGAGUUGACAGAGGAGGCUAAGCCCGGGCAGCUACUUUGUUCCAGAAAUCUAAGGUCCCUGGAGGGAGGCUCUGCUUUGGGAGGGGGAAGGGAGCUAACAUUGCAGAGCACCAACUGUGAACCAGGUACAAUGGCAGAGCCUUUCCAUACCUGUACUCACAACUAGCGGGUGAGGAGUCAAGGCAAAUAGGUGUCUCAUAGCUCCCCAUAUCUCGGCAGUCGACCACCUCCUCCUUUGAUUCUCUGAUGUCACUGCCAGUUCUCCUCCUAUUGCUCUGACCUGUCUUUCUCUGUGUCCUUUGCAAACUCAUUCUCAACUCCUUAGACUCAGUCAAGUCCCCCAGUUACACACUUCCAUGGUACUAUAUAUCAUUCCUUCAGAGCACUUAACACAGUUAUUUCCUAUGUAUUUGUCCAGUCAUUUGAAUAAUGAUCCUAGUUUCAUUGGAUGGAAAGUUCCACAAGGUCAGUGACCAUUUCUAUCUGUGUUCACCAAUGUGUUCCCAGUGCCCAGAAACAAUGCCUAGCAUAAAGCAGCUGUUUUGUAAAUACUUGUUCAAUGAAUGAAUAAAUGACAAAAGAACAUC